rnacentral:rRNA from 1 species
AUUGAACGCUGGCGGCAUGCUUUACACAUGCAAGUCGAACGGCAGCACGGGGGCAACCCUGGUGGCGAGUGGCGAACGGGUGAGUAAUAUAUCGGAACGUACCCGGAAAUGGGGGAUAACGUAGCGAAAGUUACGCUAAUACCGCAUAUGCCCUAAGGGGGAAAGCGGGGGACUCGCAAGAACCUCGCGUUUUCGGAGCGGCCGAUAUCGGAUUAGCUAGUAGGUGAGGUAAAGGCUCACCUAGGCGACGAUCCGUAGCUGGUCUGAGAGGACGACCAGCCACACUGGAACUGAGACACGGUCCAGACUCCUACGGGAGGCAGCAGUGGGGAAUUUUGGACAAUGGGCGCAAGCCUGAUCCAGCCAUGCCGCGUGAGUGAAGAAGGCCUUCGGGUU